rnacentral:lncRNA from 1 species
ACAUAUUGUUUUAAAUGACUGAUAAUUUUUAUUUGCUGCUGCCAUAGGCCGCCUGGUCUAUUCCCUCUCUUUCUCUCUCAUUCUCUCUCUCUCUCUCUCUCUCUCUCCCUCCUUGUCUUGUAAGCUUAGAAAUUACACAAAUGCCCCUGAGGUGGUGAGCUGUAGGCCCUUUGCUUUCAGUGUUGCUGCAAAUAGAGCUGGUAGCCACUAGAGGGGAGGAGACCGCUGGCUUUUCCGAAUGCUUCACGGUAGAGCAUGAAGGUGAAGAAGCUGUCACAGCCCUGGUUGUCCAAGGGAAAGGUUUAAAAUAUGGUGUGAAGCACAGAGCUUAAAAGAUGCUGACUGUGUAUUAUCUUGGUGAAGGGAUUUCUGAUUCUACAUGGGAUUUUGCUUGGUGGUUGUGGCUGCAGCUGACACCGCCUUUGACUGUCAAGUGUGCCCUGCAGUUACGCAAUGCUAAGUGAACAGCAAAAUCCCUUCUGGGAUACCAUGCUUUGAAACAUGAAGAUGCGACAGACUCUGAAUAAGGAUAAUGAUUACAGAAGGGCAUGACAUCUACAGUAC